CACAGGUUGGAAAGGCUAAUUAACAUACCUGCCUGCCUAUUUUGGCCAUCUUUAAUUUUCCUUGCAGAGCAUGUAUUCAAAUGGAGUAAGGAACAUGACAUUUAAUUGGAUAAAAGAAACAUCUUGACUGUUAUUUGCUGUCAGAGUCUGGCUGAGAAGAGCAAGACAGCACUAGAGGAAAUGGCUGGAAAACCUUUGGGUGAAGAUCAUACAAGUGAAUAUAUAAUAUUGUUCCUCUGAGGAAGCGACAUUCAAAACACCACCUAGAAUUAAUGACACAAGAAAGCUGAACAAACCAGAAAAAAUAGCUCCGGAACCUCAC